CCCCUAGAUGUUCUGGGCCGCACGCGCGCUACACUGAACAGUUCAACAAGUCUUAACCUUGGCCGAUAGGUCUGGGUAAUCUUUGAACGCUGUUCGUGAUUGGGAUAGACCUUUGCAAUUAUGGGUCUUCAACGAGGAAUUCCUAGUAAACGCAAGUCAUCAGCUUGCAUUGAUUACGUCCCUGCCCUUUGUACACACCGCCCGUCGCGCCUACCGAUUGAAUGGUCCGGUGAAAUCUCGGGACGGCGGCUUGGUCGCUUGCGUCCGACUGCUGAAACUUGAUUAAACCAUAUCAUUUAGAGGAAGGUGAAGUCGUAACA
rnacentral:rRNA from 1 species